rnacentral:other from 1 species
GGCCGGUGCGCAUGUCCGCCUGACGGAAAGCCUUAACGCCUCCUGCAACCUCCACCUUGAACUUUCGGGUUCAAGGGCUAAGCCGACAGCGGCACGUCGGGGAGUCU